GGCAGUCACCUCGUGAUCUUCUUGCGCUUUAUACCAGCUAAGAGCGAUUCCAGUUCGUCUUACCAUUAGUCCGUCUUAUAUAUCCGGUCGUCCUGAUCCGUGAUCGUCUAGUUAUCCAAUCGGGUUUUCUCUCAACUCUGAAAUUCAAUCGCUCCUAGUUCUGUAUCUGUUUCUCGGUGUUAAUAUCGUCGAAAGUAUCUACGCGUCCCGCAGAUAUAUAUCUCCCUGUUCGUAUUACACCAAAUAUUAUACUCGGGCACAUCGACUCUCGAAUAUCCGCCGCGUGAAAGGCGAUAAAAAUCGCUUAAUAAAUAAAUGAAUUCAGACGUAAGCGCGACAUAAACACAACUACGUGUUGCAAGUCGAGAGUCCAAACCGAGUCCAUGCAGUUCAGCGGACUUUAACGGAUGUUCGUAUACCGGACAAUAACGUAUCGGAAUAGAAUUUGUGUGCGGUCGGAAUGCUUGACUCGGUUACUUCUUCCUCAGUGUACGGAGGAUGAUUAUUAUUGCAUAACGAUAUAAACAUCGUUUGGACGGAUGAUGACUGCACAGGGACGGGUCUUGCGCGCUAAGCGUGUAAAGGAAGCUCUGAAUAAUAAAUACGUUUAUGAAUCGGUUGCUAUAGAGGAUGCUGUCAGUUGAUUGCUCGCUCCUGAGCUGAUACGAAGCAAUUGACGGGAGCUCUACAAGUGGUGUCGUGUUAUACGUUGAUUCGGGUUAACGCGGCGGUUUUAUUUUUCUAUUAUUUAUUUUUUUUUUUUUUUACCGUUAAUUUUUUGCAAAUUCUAUCAACUUUUCUAAAAAUAUUCGUCGCGAUUGUAUCCGUGUGCCGAGCGAUUAACGGCGGUGUUUCACGUCGGUGUACGCGUCCGCGCAUCGAUCUGCGAAAAAUUAUCUGCGGGAUUAUCGGAAAAUUUUUUUGCCCCAGUGCGCUGCAGAGAAGAACCGCAGAGAUAUCGGAGAGAUAACCGUUGAAUUGGAUGUGUUUUGUCAGCGAUAAAUGGAUCGAUGAUCGUUGACGUCAUCUUGAAGUGAAGAUAGCGAUAUUUCGUUUUUUCACACUGAACUUCAAGCGACAUAUGCAACUGCGUGCUAGGUAAUAGCUGAAAAUGUCACGCGGAGAACGUCAGCCGCGAUGUCAGGUAUACCGCACCGUUAGUCACCGUGAUAUCGGCCAAUCGCUGACGAAAAAUAUCAGCAAUCAUGAAGACCGUGAAGCGUAAUCGUUCCCAGUGAAAAAAAAAAAAAUCAAACAAUUAUAAAACCAACAAAAAUAAAUAAAUAAAUAAAUAAAUAAAUCGCGAAUCUCCGGAAUGGGCUGGUUGACGCAAUGCGUCUGCGGAGCUCGGAGUACCGGCUCGGAACCGGACGUGAGAAAACAAAGCGCGGGAAAACGUGGGAAAAAAAGAACGGGCGAGAAAAAAAAGGAGAAAGAAUCCUUCAAAUCGUUGCCCAGUCCGAAAAUUGCGGUUCAAGAAAAAUCGAACGGGAAAAAUCAUGCGAUUUCAAGUCGUUCGAACCCGGAUGACAAUUUUCGCGAAGGACGACAAACUGGAAGCGAAAACCGCGCAGCUGUUGCGACGCUGCAUUCCGAGCCCGGAAAUCGUUUGGACGAGACUUCACCUCCUGUAAAAAAAUCAACGGCCGACGAUAAGUGCGAAUUAGUCGAAAAUAGUAUUAAAUCCCGCGAAGAAUCGAACAGUACUUUUUCCCCGGUCGUUAAAUCGGUCGAUUUUAUGCCUCCCGACGAAACUGGCGGUUGUCUUGAACGAAUUGGUUCGAACUUUGAACCAAUCGAAGUAAUAUCGCGUCCGAAGAUGCCGGAAACCGAUGAUGGAAAAAAACUUCUCACUACUGGAGAUAAAAAAUUGACUUUUGCUUCCGACGAGCGACCGUCGAUUCUGAAAGAGAUCCCAAAGAUCGACUACAAAGCUAAUAACCGUAAGACUGAAAAUCUCAACGACGAGACGCACCCUGUAACCAUGGAAAGUUCAAAUCUGAAAAACUUCAACAGGCAACUGAAUCUCUCUUACGUUUUAUUGAACCGCACCGAUAACAAGGAGAGUGGAAACGACACCAACACGGGGCUUCCCUCCUCGAGUGACCACGAUGUACAUCAGAGUUUUCGUAGAGCUCGCGUAGUUUUACCAAAAAUCGAAACGAACAAAUCUCACGCGGACUGUCGUGAUCAACACCAUCGCGUACAGAACCCCCACAGAGCAACUAUGCCGAUCUCCAGGUUACCCAGAUCUAAAUCGAGAGUUAAGAAAUCUGCGGACGAUCUGCCCGAUAUCCAGGCGAAAAAAUACGGUUUUAAAAACCCGAUAUCCCAAGUCAGAGAGUUUAAUCAAAACAGGAACUCUUGUAGCUUCGAAAUUCCAUGGCGCGACGAGAACGCAGCUACUGCAAUUAAACCGGUGGUUCAACGGGGGAUUUUAAACUCUCGGGGAACGCCGUCGAAAAUUGCGACAAAAAUCAGAAACUCGAAAGAGAUUGCUUUGCUCAGCGAUUCAGGGUUGAAGGCUAAUGAAAAUGGCCGCGUCCAUUCCGCUAUUGUGUCCGGUGUCAACUGGGAACAGCGAAGUGUUACCGUGGAAUGGUUCGAGAGAGGAGAGACCAAAGGCAAAGAGGUAGAGAUCGAUGCAAUUUUGGCUUUGAAUCCAGAGUUGACACCAAAAACGAUGGGUCCACCUCCACCGGUGACCAAUCACAUGAUGCCUUCGCGUAACAAGGACUCUUCCGGUGAGGAGGACGAGGGCGUUGACGAGUAUGAAAAUCAAGACGAUGGCUCGCUCGGACGUACCGGUGCUCAACAGACAACGAGAAAUGGUCUUAGCUCGGCUACCCUUCCUGUACGAGUCACAUCUCGGCUUUCGAAUACGACGAGGGCAUCCAUCCCAGUAAAAGCUGGUUCAAACAGACAAAUAGCGCGGACAGGACGGCCAACAAAUAUAAUUCCAGCCAUCACAUCAGUAAACGGACAUGGCGAUUCAAUCUCAGGUCUUAGUCGUCGUGAAGUGGAAAACAUUCCCCCGACACCGUCUACACCUGCACCAUCCAGUGCUUCUACUGUGGCAGCAAACAAGCAAAAACAGUUGCAAGUACAGGCACAACAGCAGCAACAAUUACAAGUACAACAGCAAGCGGCACAAAUUGAAAAUGGAAGAGGCCGAAGAUCAAAUGUUGUGAGAGAGGUGGAAAGACUCAAGAAGAACAGGGAGGAGAGAAGGCAGCGGCAAGCGGAAAAAAAAGAGGAGAAAGAAGCAUUAAUGAAUCUAGAUCCCGGAAAUCCUAACUGGGAGUUUCUUGCCAUGAUCAGAGAUUAUCAAAAUACUAUAGAUUUUAGACCGCUGAGAGAGACAGAUUCUGUAGAGGAUCAUCAAAUCACAGUAUGUGUCAGAAAACGUCCUCUGAAUCGCAAGGAAUUGAAUCGCAAGGAAGUGGAUGUAAUAAGUGUGCCGAGCAAAGAUCAAAUGGUUGUCCAUGAACCAAAAGCAAAGGUUGAUUUAACUAAGUAUCUAGAGAACCAGCUGUUCAGAUUUGACUAUGCAUUUGAUGAAACAUGCACCAAUGAAAUAGUCUACAAAUAUACAGCCAAACCCUUGGUGCAAACUAUCUUUGAGGGUGGAAUGGCUACUUGUUUUGCUUAUGGCCAAACUGGCAGUGGAAAGACCCACACAAUGGGUGGAGAUUUUAAUGGAAAGACUCAAGACUGCAAGAAAGGAAUAUAUGCUAUGGUUGCUAAGGAUGUUUUCAAGUAUUUGAAAUCAUCCAAGUUUCGCUCUUUAAACUUGAUUAUUUCUGCUAGCUUCUUUGAGAUUUACUCAGGCAAAGUUUUUGACCUCCUCGCUGACAAGGAAAAGCUCAGAGUGCUCGAAGAUGGGAAGCAGCAGGUCCAAAUAGUCGGGUUGACUGAAAAAGUAGUGGAAUCCUGUGACGAAGUAUUAAAAUUGAUUCAGCAUGGAAAUAGCGCCAGAACCAGCGGGCAGACUACCGCCAAUGCUAAUUCCUCUAGGUCACACGCGGUCUUUCAAAUCAUAGCUCGCACACCUGGAACUCAUAAAGUUCACGGAAAAUUCUCUUUAAUUGAUCUGGCUGGAAAUGAAAGAGGUGCUGAUACAUCUUCAGCCAACAGACAGACUAGGAUGGAAGGUGCCGAAAUCAACAAAUCAUUAUUGGCGCUAAAAGAAUGUAUUCGUGCACUCGGACGCAAGGGUACACACCUGCCAUUCAGAGCCAGCAAGCUCACGCAGGUUUUACGAGAUAGUUUCAUUGGAGAGAAAUCAAAAACUUGCAUGAUUGCUAUGAUCAGCCCAGGAAUGAAUUCCUGCGAGCAUUCUUUGAACACUUUACGAUAUGCAGACAGGGUUAAAGAAUUAGCUGCGACUGAUCCAACAGAAAUGAAGAUAUCCCCUACCGAAGAGGAAGAACUAGGGUUGAAGAUAGAUGACCAAACGAACAAUAGCGUUCUGUCAGAUAGUGAUUUAGCACAGUUGAGAUCGCUCAAUGAAGGCGAGUUAUCUCAAGAUUUGUAUACUUUCCAUGAAGCUGUAUCUGCGCUACAGUUAUUGGAAGAAGAGGUUUUGGAUACACAUAAACUAGUGGUGGACAAUACGGCUCGGUUUUUGAAUGAUGCCCAUAGUGUUUUCAGUGCAACACACGAGGUGGACUACGAUCAAGAAGAUUUGAGACGGAAAAGAACAAAGUUUGAGUCACCCUACCUGAGGCGGUUCACAAUACGUAGGCGACUCGUAGAAAGAAAGCAAUUUUCUGAUGCGUACGCCCAAAAGUGGGAAGAACUAUUGCUCCAGCAACGUGAUACAUUGAAUGCCGCACUUGAGCAAGUUAGUCAAUUUCGAGGUCAACUUCUUCAAGAAGAGCAGAUCAGUCAGAAGAUGACACGCACACGCAACACACGAUAUAAUUAAAUAUAAACAUCACACUCCCGUAUACUUACUAAAACAACAUAUGGGAUGUAUCACCUGGUGAAUCUGAUGCAUAAUAGAUUUUCUGCUACCAGCCUUCUUUGGAGGUACAUUCAUUGUUCCUAAGUUAUUACCGUUGAUUGAUGUCCAGCAUGUAAGUAUUUGAGAGUUUUCAAAAAAGCCUGAGUAAUAAAAUUUUAUUAAAUUCUUUGUGAAAUACCUGUAUUCCUAGCGAAUUAUCAAAGUAGUCGUGAUGUACGUUGUAAUGUAAUCAAAUAAUACUCUAUUACUAUAGUAAUGUACGAUAUAUCUAUAUUUUUUACCGAUGUUAGUAUAGAGAACGCUACGAGUUCCUUAGUGUCACCUUUUUGCCUGAUGAAAUUUAACGACUACAGACUACAAUUUUUUCGGCUUCAUUAUAUUAAAUGAGUAUCACAAGAGUUUCAGAAACAUUGAAAAGAAACUGUCCAAAACUAAAUCAGAUAGUGUAAACUCACCGUAAACGGGUCACUUUGAUUGCAAACCAUAAAAUAACAAAAUUAAAAUGUAUUUAACAACUAACUAAGUCAAUAAAAAGCAUGAAUAUCCUCGUUUUUUGAUACAAGGCGUCGGCUAUUCGAUUAUAAUAAGAUAGUUUGAUCCCAACAGCUUCAGUCUGAACAAGUAUAUGAAGAAUAACGUAAGAUUUUAACUUAUAUUCAAAUUUUAAGUUUGAAAUCAGCAUCCGUUAUUCAGAUUUUGACACAAUGAAGUUAUCAUAUUUAUUAUAUCUAAGUUUCAUCGACGCCACAAUGUGUCAAAUUCUGAAUUUUCACAACGGAUCUAGUUCUUUGAAUUGCUAUGCGUACAAUAUGUGUUUCUCGAGCGUGACCAGAGUGCUUUCGUCUUGUGCUUGAGCUGCAAAUUCAGUUUGAUGUACAAGAUUAUAUGAUAUUAAAUGAAGAGAUAAAUUAGAA
rnacentral:misc_RNA from 1 species